AACGUAGGACGCAAGCGUUAUCCGGAGUUACUGGGCGUAAAGCGCGGGCAGGCGGUCGGUCAAGUCUGAUGUGAAAUCUCUCCGCUCAACGGGGAGCAGCCAUUGGAAACUGGGCGACUGGAGUCUGACAGAGGUAGGCGGAAUUCCGGGUGGAGUGGUGAAAUGCGUAGAGAUCCGGAGGAACACCAGAGGCGAAGGCGGCCUACGGGGUCAGUACGGACGCUGAGCCGCGAAAGCCAGGGGAGCGAACGGG
rnacentral:rRNA from 1 species